AAGUAACAAGAUUGUUUGGAAUACAUAGAAACAUUUGAACUGGGUGGGAGUGGUCCUAACUGGAAAAACUUUCCAUUUGACACAGACUGCUGUAGGAUUUUGGGUUCCUGUCUUCAUACCUGAUCAAUAGGAGCCUGGGAGCCUGAGAAGCAACUGGAAAACCACAGAUGCUCCUGUUCACUGUAAAGUAAAGCAGAUGAUGAAACAAUAAAAGGCACCCAACACAAACAGCAAUUCAGCAAAACAGGGAAACAAAGACAACUGAGGAACUGUCUCUGUCCAUAAUAAAGGGAAGAACCAAGGAGAAAGCAAGUGGCCAGACGCUUCUUAUAUUUGUUAAAAUAAUGUACGAAAAUUCACAUUUUCUGCUGUGGCUCUCCCUACAAAAUCCAGGAUCGCAAGGGAGUACUGUGAUUCCUGGCUUGAUAAGCACAACAGCUCCCAGGAGGUGGUGCUCCAGGGUAAGAGAUGGAGGCGAUUGGUGUAGACGUUUUCAAACUACCUUUAAGAGAAAGGAUUCAAUGCAGGAAAAGUUUCACCAGGCUCGUUCCCUUUCCAGCAGCCACUGGCUGCCGCCAGGACUUUCCCAAAGUACAGCAGUUAGUACAUCUCUCUGGUGACCUCAGAAAAAGAACACUAGGAAGAGCAGCUCUGACUGAAGACUAUUACUACCGUGAAGCCUUAUUAUAUGUUGUUGUAGGCUUUUUGUAGCCCUGUUGGUCCCAGGAGAUUAGAGAGACAAGGCGAGUGAGGUAAUAUAUUUUAUUGGACUAACUUCUGCUGGUGAAGGAGACAAACUUGCAAGCAACACAGAGCUCUUCAAUAUGUA